GAUGAACGCUGGCGGCGUGCCUAAUACAUGCAAGUCGAGCGAACUGAUUAGAAGCUUGCUUCUAUGACGUUAGCGGCGGACGGGUGAGUAACACGUGGGCAACCUGCCUGUAAGACUGGGAUAACUUCGGGAAACCGAAGCUAAUACCGGAUAGGAUCAUCUCCUUCAUGGGAGAUGAUUGAAAGAUGGUUUCGGCUAUCACUUACAGAUGGGCCCGCGGUGCAUUAGCUAGUUGGUGAGGUAACGGCUCACCAAGGCAACGAUGCAUAGCCGACCUGAGAGGGUGAUCGGCCACACUGGGACUGAGACACGGCCCAGACUCCUACGGGAGGCAGCAGUAGGGAAUCUUCCGCAAUGGACGAAAGUCCGACGGAGCAACGCCGCGUGAGUGAUGAAGGCUUUCGGGUCGUAAAACUCUGUUGUUAGGGAAGAACAAGUACAAGAGUAACUGCUUGUACCUUGACGGUACCUAACCAGAAAGCCACGGCUAACUACGUGCCAGCCGCCGCUGUAAGAC
rnacentral:rRNA from 1 species